rnacentral:rRNA from 1 species
UGCCAGCAGCCGCGGUAAUACGAAGGGACCUAGCGUAGUUCGGAAUUACUGGGCUUAAAGAGUUCGUAGGUGGUUGAAAAAGUUGGUGGUGAAAUCCCAGAGCUUAACUCUGGAACUGCCAUCAAAACUUUUCAGCUAGAGUAUGAUAGAGGAAAGCAGAAUUUCUAGUGUAGAGGUGAAAUUCGUAGAUAUUAGAAGGAAUACCAAUUGCGAAGGCAGCUUUCUGGCUCGACACUGACACUGAGGCGCGAAAGCGUGGGGAGCAAACAGGAUUAGAUA